rnacentral:tRNA from 1 species
UCCCUGAUGGUCUAGUGGUUAAGACUGCAUGCUUCCAAUGCAGGGGGCUCAGGUUCAGUCCCUGGUCGGGGAA